rfam:Phycisphaerae bacterium SM23_33 WORSMTZ_30752, whole genome shotgun sequence.
GCGGCCGUGGCGGAACUGGCAGACGCGCAGGCUUCAGGUGCCUGUGUCCCUCGGGACGUGGAGGUUCGACUCCUCUCGGCCGCA